AAGAUUUUAAGUUAAUUAAACUAUUGGCCUUCAAAGUUAAAAUUGCAUAAGGCAAGUCUUA
rnacentral:tRNA from 1 species